rnacentral:rRNA from 1 species
GGGAGGAAAAGAAACUAACAAGGAUUUUCUUAGUAGCGGCGAGCGAAAAGAAAAUAGUUCAGCACUAAGUCACUUUGUCUUAAUGGCAAAUGUGAGAUGCAGUGUAUGGAAUGUCAAAUUUCUAGUAUGAGAAAUUAACGAUUUAAGUCCUUCUUAAAUGAGGCCAUUUACCCAAAGAGGGUGCCAGGCCCGUAUAACGUUAAUGAUUACUAGAUGGCAUUUCCAAAGAGUCGUGUUGCUUGAUAGUGCAGCACUAAGUGGGUGGUAAACUCCAUCUAAAACUAAAUAUAACCAUGAGACCGAUAGUAAACAAGUACCGUGAGGGAAAGUUGAAAAGAACUCUGAAUAGAGAGUUAAAUAGUACGUGAAACUGCUUAGAGGUUAAGCCCGAUGAACCUGAAUAUCCGUUAUAGAAAAUUCAUCAUUAUGAUUUUAAUAUUUAUAAUAUUAUAAUAAUGGUGUGCAUUUUUUCUAUAAAAGGACAUUGUAAUCUAUUAACAUAAAUAUAUUUAUCAUAAGAUCAAGAGCGCGUAAGUUUAUUCAAAUUAUUUUGCUUGCAAUUUAACAUAGAAUAAAUGCUUUUGAUUUGAUAAAGUGUUGAUAGAUUUAUUAUAUAUAGUGCUUAAAUAUUUAUAUUUUAUAAUAGCAUAUUAAUCAUUGAUUUUUAUGUUUAUUAUAUGCACUUAUAUGAUUAACAAUGCGAAAGAUUCAGGAUACCUUCGGGACCCGUCUUGAAACACGGACCAAGGAGUCUAACAUAUUUGCAAGUUAUUGGGAAUAAAAACCUAAUAGCGAAAUUAACAUAACUUAAUAAUGGGAUUAGUUUUUAGCCUAUUUAUAGUCUAUUAAUACAAUCCCGGGGCGUUCUAUCAGUUAUGUAUAAUAAUAUUUAUAUUAUUUAUACCUCUAACUAGAGCGUACCUUGAGCAUAUAUGCUGUGACCCGAAAGAUGGUGAACUAUACUUGAUCAGGUUGAAGUCAGGGGAAACCCUGAUGGAAGACCGAAACAG